AUACCAUGAUGAGGGCACUUCCUUAACAACUAUUUGAAUCUCUCCCACACAUCAUAUAAUGAUUCCCCAUCCAUCUAAUAGAAUUUAUUAAUUUCUCCCCUUAACUU